UGUGUAUGUGUGUGUGUUGGAAAGAGUUUGCCCAUUUGUGAGUGUGCCUGCAGUUAGAAUGCUAGCCUUUUAAAAGCUAAGUUGAGAUAAGCAGAGACAGAGAACAACCGAAGGAAAAGAUAUAGAUGUCUUUGUCUUUCUACAGCUGAGUUUGAGUGACAGAUGUGUGUGGGAAAAUGCACAAACGCUGAAACAUAAGGCGAGGGGAUAAAUUGGAAAUAAUCAUAAUUGUAUUCAUUGUCCGUGGAAGUUUUUAGCGGCAUCAGAGGAGCUGGAGGAGUUGCAGGACACCUUUAACAAACAAGGAGACACACUCCUCCUUGCAUCCACUUCUGACUCUAUUAAGAGUUCCCAUGGACUCCAAUGUGAGGGUCCUCCAGAGAGGAGCUGCUGUGUGUUGUGUCUACAAAAGCAGGAUGGAGGAGGCGGAGGACAGGCGUGACAAUGUAAAAACACUCACCAAGUAGCUUCAACUGAGACGUCACAUAUCCAGGAGACCACAUCUGAGAUUUUUCUACUAAAAUAUAAUAGAUAGUAGAAGAUGAUUAUAAUAACACCAUGUCAUUUUUGAUCCAAUAUGGACUAUUCCAACUAAAUGACAACAGCAGGAACCAAGAAUUCAGCCAGAGGAGCAAUGUUAAAGGGCCAGUGUGUAACAUUUAGGAAGCUCAAUUGGCAGAAAUGGAAUAUAGUAUUUAGUAUGUGUUCAUUAGUGUAUAAUCCUGAAAAUAUGUGUUGUUGUGUGGAACGAGCUGUUUUUAAGUACAAAUGCCACGGGUCGCCUUACGUGAAGGCUGCCCUGUUGAACUGCCAUGUUUCUACAGUAGCCUAGAAGGGACAUACCACCACUCGCUCAUGAUUUGUUAAAACCAAUGUGCUGGUAAGCGUAUGCUGCUGAAAACUUUAAUAUAAAAGCAUUAAAUACUGGUAAUGCUAACAGUAUUCAGACAACUCCGGACAAAUAAAACAAAAACUAUGGAAAAAGCUGGAUGGACUUACCUUUAAUUCAGUACACUGCAGUUGGUGUAGCCAUUUUUAAAGAAAUGGUUUGAUACUAAUUUGUUUUCCUUUCAAAAGUUAGAUGAGAAGAUUGAUAUCACUCUUCAGUUUCUACGGUGAGCUACAGUCAGCACCCAGUUAGCUUAGCUUAGCUCUACUGGUGGCCUCUGAGCACCUACAUUUGUUCUUAUGUUUUAUUAAUUCAGCCAUUUUUUGAAUGUGUGGCACAAGCCCACCCAGGCCCACCCAUCUCUAUAUGCCAUGUUUUCUUUCUUUUCAAUAAUAGCUAGGCUACAUUGUGCAACCCUUACAGAACACCAUUGAUCAUAUGAGCUAAAAGGAAAUUCUGAAAAUGUUGUGAUAGUAUAACUAUAAGAUAGAAAUAAGUAGUACAUUGUGUAUUAAAAGCAUCCUUGAGUGUGUCUUUCAUAGAGAAAUAGAGAGAUUUGCAUCACUACCCAUGAAGAGUCCAAUGCCAUAUGUUGGAGAGAGGUAGCUUAUGGAGCUUUAUUGAGCACAUGUUUGUUUCUCUUGUAAUCCUUUUUUAUAUAUCUGAAUAUGGCAUGGAUUUUGUUGCAUUAGAUUUUGUCUCCCAAAUUGUUUGUUUUGCUACAAAACCUCCAAUUACCUAGCUUGAAAUUCUGUUGCAUAUGGUGCUGAUGGUGCCAUAUGCUAACAGCGCUAAACAUUGUGCUUUGUAGAAAGGUGAUAAUAAAUUCAGUAGCUUAAAUCAG